rnacentral:rRNA from 1 species
AUUGAACGCUGGCGGCAGGCCUAACACAUGCAAGUCGAGCGGAUGAAGGGAGCUUGCUCCUGGAUUCAGCGGCGGACGGGUGAGUAAUGCCUAGGAAUCUGCCUGGUAGUGGGGGAUAACGUCCGGAAACGGGCGCUAAUACCGCAUACGUCCUGAGGGAGAAAGUGGGGGAUCUUCGGACCUCACGCUAUCAGAUGAGCCUAGGUCGGAUUAGCUAGUUGGUGGGGUAAAGGCCUACCAAGGCGACGAUCCGUAACCGGUCUGAGAGGAUGAUCAGUCACACUGGAACUGAGACACGGUCCAGACUCCUACGGGAGGCAGCAGUGGGGAAUAUUGGACAAUGGGCGAAAGCCUGAUCCAGCCAUGCCGCGUGUGUGAAGAAGGUCUUCGGAUUGUAAAGCACUUUAAGUUGGGAGGAAGGGCAGUAAGUUAAUACCUUGCUGUUUUGACGUUUCCAACAGAAUAAGCACCGGCUAACUUCGUG